GGAUACUGCUAUCCGGAUCCGACUAAGCCAUGCGAGUCGAGAGUCUUCGGGACUCGGCGAACUGCUCAGUAACAUAUGGUUAACCUACCCUUAGGUCGGGGAUAAUCUCGGGAAACUGAGGCUAAUACCCGAUAGGAAUUCUGUUCUGGAAUGACAGAAUUCCGAAAGCUCCGGCGCCUAAGGAUGGGACCAUAUCCUAUCAGCCUGUUGGGGGUGUAACGAACCCUCAAAGCGAUAACGGGUACGGGCCAUGAGAGUGGGAGCCCGGAGAUGGAUUCUGAGACAUGAAUCCAGGUCCUACGGGACGCAGCAGGCGCGAAACCUUCGCAAUGUGCUAACGCACGACGAGGGGAUCCGGAGUGCCUAUGCUCUGCAUAGGCUUUUGCCAAGUCCAAACAGCUUGGCGAAUAAGGGGUGGGCAAGACGGGUGCCAGCCGCCGCGGUAAUACCCGCGCCCCAAGUGGUAUCCACGAUUAUUGGGCCUAAAGCGUCCGUAGCCGGUCUGAUAAGUCCUCGGUGAAAUUCACUAGUAGACUAGUGAGCUUGCCGGGGAUACUAUCAGACUUGGGACUGGGAGAGGGUAGAGGUACUCCCAGGGGAGGGGUAAAAUCCUGUAAUCCUGGGGGGACCACCUGUGGCGAAGGCGUCUACCUAGAACAGUUCCGACGGUGAGGGACGAAAGCUAGGGGAGCGAUCGGGAUUAGAUACCCCGGUAGUCCUAGCCGUAAACGAUGCCCGCUUGGUGUUGCAAAUCCUUCGGGGGUUUGCAGUGCCGGAGUGUAGAUGUUAAGCGGGCCGCCUGGGGAGUACGGCCGCAAGGCUGAAACUUAAGGGAAUUGGCGGGGGAGCACACAAGGGGUGGAGGCUACGGUUC
rnacentral:rRNA from 1 species